UACGUAGGGUGCAAGCGUUGUCCGGAAUUAUUGGGCGUAAAGAGCUCGUAGGCGGCCAUGCGUGUCUUCCGUGAAAUCCCUCGGCUUAACUGAGGACGUGCGGAAGAAACUGCAAGGCUCGAGUCCGGGAGAGGGGGGUGGAAUUCCCAGUGUAGCGGUGAAAUGCGUAGAUAUUGGGAGGAACACCGGUGGCGAAGGCGGCCCCCUGGACCGGUACUGACGCUGAGGCGCGAAAGCGUGGGUAGCAAACGGG
rnacentral:rRNA from 1 species